AAUGAAUGUUAAAGGGAUUGGUA
rnacentral:siRNA from 1 species